rnacentral:rRNA from 1 species
GACGAACGCUGGCGGCGUGCUUAACACAUGCAAGUCGAACGGAAAGGCCCUGCUUUUGUGGGGUGCUCGAGUGGCGAACGGGUGAGUAACACGUGAGUAACCUGCCCUUGACUUUGGGAUAACUUCAGGAAACUGGGGCUAAUACCGGAUAGGAGCUCCUGCUGCAUGGUGGGGGUUGGAAAGUUUCGGCGGUUGGGGAUGGACUCGCGGCUUAUCAGCUUGUUGGUGGGGUAGUGGCUUACCAAGGCUUUGACGGGUAGCCGGCCUGGGAGGGUGACCGGCCACAUUGGGACUGAGAUACGGCCCAGACUCCUACGGGAGGCAGCAGUGGGGAAUAUUGCACAAUGGGCGGAAGCCUGAUGCAGCAACGCCGCGUGCGGGAUGACGGCCUUCGGGUUGUAAACCGCUUUCGCCUGUGACGAAGCGUGAGUGACGGUAAUGGGUAAAGAAGCACCGGCUAACUACGUGCCAGCAGCCGCGGUGAUACGUAGGGUGCGAGCGUUGUCCGGAUUUAUUGGGCGUAAAGGGCUCGUAGGUGGUUGAUCGCGUCGGAAGUGUAAUCUUGGGGCUUAACCCUGAGCGUGCUUUCGAUACGGGUUGACUUGAGGAAGGUAGGGGAGAAUGGAAUUCCUGGUGGGGCGGUGGAAUGCGCAGAUAUCAGGAGGAACACCAGUGGCGAAGGCGGUUCUCUGGGCCUUUCCUGACGCUGAGGAGCGAAAGCGUGGGGAGCGAACAGGCUUAGAUACCCUGGUAGUCCACGCUGUAAACGGUGGGUACUAGGUGUGGGGUCCAUUCCACGGGUUCCGUGCCGUAGCUAACGCUUUAAGUACCCCGCCUGGGGAGUACGGCCGCAAGGCCAAAACUCAAAGGAAUUGACGGGGCCCCGCACAAGCGGCGGAGCAUGCGGAUUAAUUCGAUGCAACGCGUAGAACCUUACCUGGGUUUGACAUGGAUCGGGAGCGCUCAGAGAUGGGUGUGCCUCUUUUGGGGUCGGUUCACAGGUGGUGCAUGGCUGUCGUCAGCUCGUGUCGUGAGAUGUUGGGUUAAGUCCCGCAACGAGCGCAACCCUUGUUCACUGUUGCCAGCACGUUAUGGUGGGGACUCAGUGGAGACCGCCGGGGUCAACUCGGAGGAAGGUGGGGAUGACGUCAAGUCAUCAUGCCCCUUAUGUCCAGGGCUUCACGCAUGCUACAAUGGCUGGUACAGAGAGUGGCGAGCCUGUGAGGGUGAGCGAAUCUCGGAAAGCCGGUCUCAGUUCGGAUUGGGGUCUGCAACUCGACCUCAUGAAGUCGGAGUCGCUAGUAAUCGCAGAUCAGCAACGCUGCGGUGAAUACGUUCCCGGG